UGGGUUGUGGCUCAGUUGUAGAGUGCUUGCUUAGCAUGUGUGAGGCACUGAGUUCAAUCCUCAGCACCACAU
rnacentral:tRNA from 1 species